AGUUAUGGCGGCUGUGCGUGUGGGCACCUUCGGGUGCGCCGGGUUCCCAAUGUCCUGGUCUGCUAACUCACGUACGGUCGCCACCCUU
rnacentral:antisense_RNA from 1 species